AGUUAGAUCCCGUAUGUUUAUCACGAGACCGUGAAUCAUCAUUUCUUUCGUUUCCUUGUUGCGUACCUUCGCUUGUUCUCUACUCAAUCGUUUCUCGAUGACCGUUAAAGUGCACGUGUCGUACUGUGGGGCCUGAGGAUACUUGCCCCGGUACGAGGAGCUCGCGAAACUGAUCAAAGCCUCAGUACCGGAUGCUGAAGUGUCUGGAAGCGUCGGGAAAACGCGUGACUUUGAGAUCACAGUUAAUGCCCAGCUCGUCUUUUCCAAGCAAGCGAAAGGCAAUUUCCCAAUUAUGAAAGAAGUUGUUGCAGCAGUGGAGAAGGCUAACAAGGGUGGAACAAUCUAUGAGGAUGAAAUCAAACCGCAAUCAUCAAGCUGCAUAAUUUUGUAGAACUCAAAGCACUGCGUCUGUGUUGUUGUCGUUAAGCUUUGCGGUAGUUAUAGAUUUACUUUCUGACUUUUCUUCGUUGUGGUUUUUCUUGCUGUUAUGACAGUCAUAGCCAGAAAUUUGUUGGCAUGACUUGAAGUUGUAGCAUUGACUAACCAAGUGGAAGGAAUUCUUACGUAAAUCGUUCAAUUAAAGAGUGGAUUUCUUGAAA